GGCCGGAUGCUGCUGCCCUUUGCCCAUGGGCACGGCUGGGAGGGGUGGGCCUGUGUGUCUCCAGGGUCUUGAGUGAAUAAUGAGGACUCAUUUUUGCUCCAGGGACAAUGCGAAUAAAAUAGAAACCGGUUCAGUGCUCUGACAAGCAAGAUUCUCAAUGAAUCUGGCCCUUCAGGGAGAGGAGCUAGCCCAAGGAUCCCACGGACGAGCUUCUGGGCUCGGUUUUUGCCACAUUCACACCGCGACAAAGGGCUUCAGCAUUGCUGACGCAGGAAAGGAGGGCCGGGCAUGGGGCGCACACCUUUAAUCCCAGCACCCAGAAGGCAGAGGUAGGAGGAUCGCCGUGAGUUCAAGGCCACCCUGAGACUACAUAGUGAAUUCCAGGUCAGCCUGGGCUACAGUGAAACUCUACCUCAAAAACAACAUCAAAAAGUCUUGCUUUUCUUGCUCAAGAUCUGACCAAGUGAAAGACAGAAGCAAGGGCAAUGUGCUGGCAUACUUACUGAUCCACUUCACACCACCUGCCUGGAUGGGCCUUUGAUAACCAUUCCAAUGAAGAGAAUCCCACCUCAGGCUGGACAGACACCCUCCGCCACACCCAGGCUUGGGGGAAGGAAAGACGGAGGCUCCACCAAACUACAGGCAGGUGGACACAACCUCUACAGACAUCAGAUGAUCCAAAAAGUUUACAAGACCAUGUUGUAUGCAUAAACUAAGACACAGAAAGAGCUGUGACCCUCCUUCCCCAGAACAUCCUAAGAGGGCAGAGAACCCGGAGUGGCAGGUUUGGAAGGAAGCGGAAAAGGCUGACGCUGUGGGAGGUGCUUUGUGCAGAGGACGACUGCUUGGGGGUCACCCUUACAUUCGCCAGGACCCCCACACUUUCCAUGUCUGCUUGGGGAAAUAACAAACCUGAGACAACGUUAGCAGAGACACCUCACCAGAGAGCCAACAAACUGCUGUGGCUGCCUUAGCAAUUGUUUGGCAUUGGACAUGAUCCCACAUCCCUGGGGGCACCAGGCAUCUGUGCUCAGAAGUGACCAGGAGACAGCAGGUGACUGCACUGGGUGCGGCUCUAAAUUCCAGACUUCAGCAGGGAGUUGGCAGCAGACCUGACUCGUGACAUGCGCAGGCGCAGCACAAGGACGCCUCCUGGCCCCUCCGCUGUACAGGUUCACAAUGGAGCCUCACCUAAUGAUGGCCAGCUUCCUCCGCUGCUGCCCAGGUGCUCUGCCAGCCUCUUUCCCUCCAAACUUACCUAUUCUCUGCUCCAUGGUUGGGACCAGAGGCCAGAA